AAGUCGUAACAAGGUUUCCGUAAGUGAACCUGCGGAAGGAUCAUCAACACGUAUCCAAACGUUAAAACUCCCGCAAUCUCUGGUAAUCAUAGUCCGGAAAGUUGUUUUGAUUCAGAGACCUCUGGCUACAUGAGAAAAUUGGAUGUUUCCCCAAGCAGUCAAUGAUUGUGCAAGGAUAGCGCUUCACGAUUCCUGUAGACCGCACACUCGGGCAGAAGCUGGGUCCCCAUGCCCCCUUAUAACCCCACAGUUGAAUGUAAAGCUCAAUGUAAUACAUUGGGUAAAAAACCGAACAACUGUUAACAAUGGAUAUCCGGGUUCUC
rnacentral:misc_RNA from 1 species